CCUAACUUUCCAAGUGUUAGACAGAUCUAUUCUAAUCGCUUCUUUGUAGACGAUAUAUACUUAAUUAAUUUAUUUCUACAAAAUUUCAGCUUAUUUUUUAGAGAGUUGAAAAAGUACUGUUUUCAAAUUGAUUUUUUGUCAAAACUGACUUUUCUAUCGGGCAAUUAACCAAGAAAUUGCCGUGAUAUAACAGACUUAAAAAUUUAAUACCUAUUUGACGCUCGCUGCACCGUCGCCGAUCUUCCCUUUUGGUUUUACCGCCGAUUUGGAUUAAGAAUUUACGAUAACGACUGAUUUUCGCUCUAUUAUCCACGGAAGGGACAGUAUGAUGACAGUAUGUCGUAUAGAGGACGUUGAUCGUUAUGUUAUGUAAGCACUUCUGUGAAAUUGAUACAGAUGAUAAAACUAACAAACAAACAAACGUGCUGUAUGUUAUUACGACGCAGUUAAUUACAAAGCAAUCAGACCAUCACGUAUGCCGAAGACAUUUUUAGUAAACAGAAAAGAUGCGAGUCUCAUCAUGUGUCAUCUAAUCCGAGGAUCUCUCGCCGACAAGCAAUUGCAUUAAGGAAGAAACAUGGCGCGACAUGGUAGCAAACACGCUGAUCACAGACCAACAAGUUAUAACUCUACUUGACUCUCUAUUUUUAUCCCCCUGCCUCUCACUAUCUAAAAGUAUAUCCGUGGCGUGGCAACUUCUUCGCAGUCGGCUAACUUCUGCUAAUAAUGGCGAGACAUUAAUUUCGUGCGAUUGGGCCCGGCGGACGUCCGCGACAAAAGUACACCAGAUGGUUCGGUGAGAGACGAAAAGAGAGAACCAAGAUGAUCCUCUCAGGUCUUUGCUAGUUUUCCCUCGUUCGAAUUUUCUCAACGAGUUGAAAGAGAGAGAAAGAAAAGAAACGUGCGGAUGUACCGUUUUAACCCUUCUUCUUCACGUGCCACGGUCGUAUAAUCUUUCCCUCUCUUUCGAAACAGAGCGGUCGGUAUAAUCGUGCCGCACUGCUGUUCCCUUGGGAGUCGUUGCUCCCGACACGAUCUUCCGAAGGAUGAAACGACGAAAAGUUUAAUGAGUCCACCUACCGCGCCUUCUCGGCCGCUAAGAUUGUAGCUGUCGCUGUUCUUUAUAACGAUCUUGAAUUCACUCGCGAGAAUCAUGAAAUUUAUCAUGACCGAAUAGAUCUAGUAUGAUU